rnacentral:rRNA from 1 species
UGGGGAAUUUUGGACAAUGGGGGAAACCCUGAUCCAGCCAUCCCGCGUGUGCGAUGAAGGCCUUCGGGUUGUAAAGCACUUUUGGCAGGAAAGAAACGUCGCGGGUUAAUACCCCGCGGAACUGACGGUACCUGCAGAAUAAGCACCGGCUAACUACGUGCCAGCAGCCGCGGUAAUACGUAGGGUGCAAGCGUUAAUCGGAAUUACUGGGCGUAAAGCGUGCGCAGGCGGUUCGGAAAGAAAGAUGUGAAAUCCCAGAGCUUAACUUUGGAACUGCAUUUUUAACUACCGGGCUAGAGUGUGUCAGAGGGAGGUGGAAUUCCGCGUGUAGCAGUGAAAUGCGUAGAUAUGCGGAGGAACACCGAUGGCGAAGGCAGCCUCCUGGGAUAACACUGACGCUCAUGCACGAAAGCGUGGGGAGCAAACAGGAUUAGAUACCCUGGUAGUCCACGCCCUAAACGAUGUCAACUGACUGUUGGGGUCUUCGGACCUUGGUAGCGCAGCUAACGCGUGAAGUUGACCGCCUGGGGGAGUACGGUCGCAAGA